GACGCCGUUGACAGAGAAGUUGUGUUUGAGUCCAACUCGUUGAGUCGUUUCUUUCUGACUAAGUGGAUCAUCCUGAGCUUCUUCUUCGUCUGUCAUCGGGUUCAUCACUGCUAGGACGCGGAAACAUCUGGAUGCUCCAUGCACUCCAAACGACAGUGUGUCUUGGCCCAACGGAGGCGGCCGGCUGCCAGGACUCCUCUCAGCUUGCUCCCCGAAGACCCCGGGCUCCACAGAAACAGGAAAUGAACUGUGGGAUCUGUCCAUCAAGCGUGAACCUGAGUUACACAGGGGAACUCGAGGGGAGUGCUGAGGCCUGAUUGGAUGGAAAACCAUCUGGGA